rnacentral:rRNA from 1 species
CGAAAACUUUACAAUGCUGGUAACAGCGAUAAGGGGACCUUGAGUGCCAGGAUACAAUCUUGGCUGUCGUCGUGUCUAAAAAAACACGAUAUAGCAAGGGCCGGGCAAGACCGGUGCCAGCCGCCGCGGUAACACCGGCGGCUCGAGUGGUAACCGCUAUUAUUGGGUCUAAAGGGUCUGUAGCCGGCUUGGUGAGUCUCUUGAGAAAUCCGGCAGCUUAACUGUCGGGCUUUCAGGAGAUACUGCCAGGCUCGAGACCGGGAGAGGUGAGAGGUACUUCAUGGGUAGGGGUGAAAUCUUGUAAUCCUUGAAGGACCACCAGUGGCGAAGGCGUCUCACCAGAACGGAUCUGACGGCAAGGGACGAAAGCUAGGGGCACGAACCGGAUUAGAUACCCGGGUAGUCCUAGCCGUAAACGAUACUCGCUAGGUGUCGGCCACGGUGCGACCGUGGUCGGUGCCGUAGGGAAGCCGUGAAGCGAGCCACCUGGGAAGUACGGCCGCAAGGCUGAAACUUAAAGGAAUUGGCGGGGGAGCAC